rnacentral:lncRNA from 1 species
AUUGCUUUGUUUGCAGGUUCUGACAUUAAGUCCUAAGUCUGGCUUAGGUACCGGAUUAGGCUUGGUGUGUAUUUUGUUAGUGUAGGCCUGACGUUGGCCUGUAUGUGUUUGAGGGAUUACUUGUGAAGGGUGGUGGAUAUUAAAGCUAUGCGGUAUCAUUGGUUGGCCGAUCAUGUUCUUGUUUUAUUGUUGGUCGACCGGCUCAUGAUACUUGUAUAGUCUAAGUGUCUAACACUACAUGAGUACUGAACUCAAGCGUAUAUAUGGUUAACUAGGGAUUGGUUGUUGACUUGUUUUAAUGCAGGUUCCCGUUACUUGGA